rnacentral:rRNA from 1 species
UGCAAGUCGAGCGGGGUAGCAAUACCUAGCGGCAGACGGGUGCGUAACAUGUGGGAAUCUGCCUUUUGGUUCGGAACAACAUGGGGAAACCUGUGCUAAUACCGGAUAAGUCCUAACGGAGAAAGUUUUAAUGCCAAAAGAUGAGCCCGCAUUUGAUUAGCUUGUUGGUGAGGUAAAAGCUCACCAAGGCUAUAAUCAAUAGCUGAUUUGAGAGGAUGAUCAGCCACACUGGGACUGAGAUACGGCCCAGACUCCUACGGGAGGCAGCAGUGGGGAAUCUUGCACAAUGGGCGAAAGCCUGAUGCAGCGAUGCCGCGUGAGUGAAGAAGGCCUUUGGGUUGUAAAGCUCUUUUGUCGGGAGAGAUAAUGACUGUACCCGAAGAAUAAGGUCCGGCUAACUUCGUGCCAGCAGCCGCGGUAAUACGAAGGGACCUAGCGUAGUUCGGAAUUACUGGGCGUAAAGAGUAUGUAGGCGGCUAGAUAAGUUAAUUGUGGAAGCCCAAAGCUUAACUUUGGAACUGCAAUUAAAACUAUUUAGCUGGAGUAUGAUAGAGGAAAGCGGAAUACAUAGUGUAGAGGUGAAAUUCGUAGAUAUUAUGUAGAACACC